GUCCUCGUAGAUCAGUUGGUUAGAGCGUUGGCUGUACUAAAGCCUUCCCCUUGCUGGCGUGGGUUCGAAUCCCACCGAGGCCG
rfam:Schistocephalus solidus strain NST_G2 genome assembly, scaffold: SSLN_scaffold0000033